rnacentral:rRNA from 1 species
GACGAACCGUACGAACGUUAUUCGGAAUCACUGGGCUUAAAGGGUGCGUAGGUGGCGCGGCAAGUUGGGUGUGAAAUCCCUCGGCUCAACCGAGGAACUGCGUCCAAAACUGCCGUGCUCGAGGGAGAUAGAGGUGAGCGGAACUUAGGGUGGAGCGGUGAAAUGCGUUGAUAUCCUAAGGAACACCGGUGGCGAAAGCGGCUCACUGGAUCUCUUCUGACGCUGAGGCACGAAAGCUAGGGUAGCGAACGGG